ensembl:lncRNA
UUUAAGAUCAAACACAGAGCUGAAAUAGCCUCUCACUGUUACCAAGAAGACCACAGGGUGCCGAACCUGCAUUGACUUUUACUAAUUAGCUCACCUGCCGCAGCUCGCCUGCCAGGUGUUUUUCUUAAUUAGUUAAUUGGUUGCAUCUGGUGUGUUUCACUUAAAAGGGAACCGGACAGUACAUUUGUUUGUGUGCUGUUUUGUCUGUUGUGACUUAUUGAACAUCUCUUCCAGUUUCACAGGUUAAAGACUUUUUGAAGUAAAGAGGAGCAUCUCAUCUGAACCUGAUGUCUAUUAUGGAUAUUUAACUGCAGUUCUGUGAGUAUCCCAACUUAACCAUGAAGCAUAACUGCAAACUGUAAAUCAUUAAUUUCUCAUUACUCUUGGGCACAUUGAUGUAUUUUGGCUUCCUGGUGAGUUAACCUGUUACCUGAAGGUUGAUCUGAGUAGUGAGGAUGUUUUAUUGGUUCAUGGGUUACUUAGGUGUUUGGUUUAUGUUGGUUUUAAUGAUUUGUUAAAAUGGUUACAGGCUCCAAGUUAUUGUUGUAAACUGGAGUAAUGCGUUGGGUUCUGAUAUCUUCAGUCUUCUUUCAUUCUAUUCUCCUGAGCUCUGCAUCUUCAUCACAUGAGUGUUGCUUUAAUGAUGAGGCAGUGGUCUGAGUGAGCAGAGGUGCAUACUGGGGUACAGAGCUGUCUCGAGUCUACAGGUCUGUAGACACGCCCCCUCAGGGGAAACCGUGUGUUUGAGAAAAUGUCGUGUCGUCAGUUACAUGGACUGGAAUGUUCUUAAAGAUGGAGACAGGGAUUCAGAAGGAGAAACACCAGGGGGAGAUGAGGGGGCACCUCAUCUCAACGACUAUAACACAACUUCAGUCUGACACAUAGAACCAUGGAACACAUUCAGCAGUCCCCUCUAGGCAUCGUGACUCCUCAGGAACAGUUUCAUUUCCAAGAAGGUCUUAUUUGGGGCCAUCCCCAUAUGGAUCCUGCUCCUCAAGAGCCACCCCCCUCCACUGGGUGGUCUUCUGAACAGAUGACCUCCUUCCUGUCCUCAGGCUGACUAAAGCUGCACCGUUUUGUGUCUGUGAAGGCCCCUCAUUCAGGAAACCACUGGACUACAAAGACAUGGCUUCAGAGAUGUUGAAUCAAGGUUUUUACCCUGCAUGAUUGUUUGGCCUUUAAUGGCUCAUUGGUCUGUGUGUUUGGGUUUGACAUGAGAUGGAAGAUUUUUCAUCAUCGCUAGGGUUCUACUGUGUGUGUGUCUCCCACUCACACCUGGCAUGGGGUUCUACGUGCCUGUCCUGGGUUCUAUGUGUGUGUCCGGCUUGCUUUGACAGUGAUAAUGUUCAUACGGGGUUCUGUGUGAUUGGCUUGGGAUAUUGGAAUGGUCAACUAAAUCAUACCUGAUGGACGGCCAAACGUUUACUUAAGGGCCUCCAGUAGACAUGAAGAACCCUGAGCGACGCUCCGGAGCGAGAUCCAACACACUGGGCAGGAAGGAGAAUAUCCAACUCAAGUGUAAAAGGAUGCAAGCGGCGUGUUCAGAUCAGUGACUUCAAACAAGGACUACACCAAUCAGGAUCAAUGGAGGAUGGACACUAAAAGGAAUUCCACAAGGAGAGUCCGACAUUGGAAAGGGACCUAAAUGGAUAUUCAAGAUGACUGUAAUGAGACGGCUCUUCUUACCUGGCUGGAUUGAUGGAGAGCCCUGUGGAUCUUUUCUUGCUCUCAGUUGCACGUCUUCUCAGGCUGAACUGUAAUUGUUUCGGACGGGACUAGCUGAACGAUUGGUUCCCUUAAAUCAUAACCAAUCCGGGAACUCCAGCUAGUGCGCUCUUCGAGCUGAAGUUGUGCUCUUCAGCUGAGGAGGUAAGGAAACCUUCACUGGGGCUUCAAGGUGUAAAGAGGAGAAUGUUUCAAAGUGUUCCAUGGUACUCUGAUGAAGACCGUUGUUGUGUUCCACUGGCUGCGAGGAAGAACCCACACAUCUUCCUCUUGGCCUUUCUCCUCUGAGAAUCCUGGCGCCAUCUUGAAGGAUAUUCCAGCUCAUGUAACUGAUGUCACGACAGAUUCUCAAACACUUGGUUUCUCCUGAGGGGCGUGUCUAUGGAACUGAAGACUUCAGACAGCACUGUAUCCCAGCAUGCAUCUCUGCUCACUCAGACCACACCCGCAUGAGUAGGAUGCAACACUGUAGUGAUGGAGAUGUAGAGUUUUAUAAGUAACGAGGGAGCAGACUAAGGUGAUUAGAACACAAUGGAAGUCUGAAAAUCUUUAUGCCAUGAAGAUGGUUGGAUAGUUCAGGAAUUGGGCUUCUUUUUAUUAUGGGCAGUCCUUUCACUCAGAUGCCCACUUCUCACUGGAGCUGUACAUGUGUUGGCUGGCUGGCAUAAUUUGCUGUUGGUGAUGAGGCGGUCAGGGUGACGUUGCAGGGCUAUGGUCGGCUCUCUGUGAGCUCAACGUUUAGAUUUGCUCUGUAUGGUUUGUACCCUGAAUAAUCUAGAUAAUUGUAAAAUGUAGACACGGUUUUGUUUUGAAUGAUUCCAGGAUUUUAGGUUUAAAGUUGUUGUGGGACAAACAUGGUAGUUUGGUUCUUAUGGUUUUGAGUGAUAUAACUUGUACACACUGGGUGCAUAAUAAUGUAAAGGUACACUGAAUAGUAGUAAUGACCAACAGCAACAAACAGAUCUCCUCAAGGUAAGUCUGUUGGCUGUGUUUUAAUGAAGACCAUCGCUGGACUUCAGGAUCUUCCUCCGUUCAGCUCAAGGUGAGGUGCUGGUUCUGUUUUUUCUUUGGUUGGUUCCGGCUGGAAUGUUCGGAUUCCAGUCGGACGGUUUGUGCUUCCCGCCGUGGAAGGUUCUGAGUGUGGUCACUUGAUUUAGUCCCAAUGGUUAGCAUAGAACGUUGUAGUCUUGACAACCAUAAGAAACCACCUGGCAGUUAGUUUGAAGGGAGUCCCCUGAGGGAAUCUGGCGGAACGUUCUGGAUUGUAUUUGCGUAACCUCCAGCCGUUGCCAACGGAAACUAUUUUUCAGUCGGUUUCCAUUGGGAAUUGUUGCCCCCUAUCUUAAACAACUAAAGUUUGAUAUUAAAUACAUACUGAGAAGUACGUCGUACAAUAUAUUGAUAAUUUCCGAUGGUUGCGCCGUUCUUUUAACCACAAUGAAGUUGCGGGACUCUCACCGCGUACAAAACAGCGUUCUACUUGCGGGCCCAUUUUGGACAUCAGGGAAGGCUGAAAAUCCUUUUGAGGUGGAAGAUAAUUUGACAUUUCUUCAACGGAACCCAGCAUUUGAAUUUAAUAGUAUAUUUGAUUUAAUAUCGAUACUGCUUAGUGUUCUUUGUUACUUCAGCUUUUGUACGUUCUAAAUAUCUGCUGUCAUUAAUUGCCACAGAAGUUAAACCCUACCCAAUGGAAUGACGUUAAACAACGACUUUGGUGCAGAGUUACCAACUGGAUAAUAUCAAAGCUAAAAUAAUGGCCGUCAUUCCAACAUGCUACAGUAGAAUAUAAGCGUCUUAGAGUACCAUAUUAAGCGCUAUAUAAAUUUCAUUUAUUAUUAUUAGAAGAUACUGUAGAACUGUACAAGGUUAAAAAGGUAACAUGUAGUUUGUCCCAAGGUGUCUGCCUCCUCACCCAGAGCAAGACGUCCACCUCCUCACCCAGAGCCAGACCGCCACCUCCUGUCAGAAGUCCUACAGAACAGCUGAAAGGCGAGGCUUAGAGGCUGGGGACCGGAGGCUUUUGGUGCCAGGGUGGAUCGGAGACUGAGGCUGGAGACCAGGGGCCUGCAGCACCGGACCAGUGGACCAGGAAUCCAUGGCUGAAGGAGCUGAUGGAGGAGCCCUGCUGAAGGAGCAGAUGGAGGAGCCGUGCUGAAGGCCCUGGGCUGGUGGUGGAGCUGGUGGAGGGCCUGCCUGGUGAAUGACGUCUGUCGUGGGACCAGGACUCUGAGGAGAGCUGCUGGAGGAGCUGAGACCCUGGAGGACGACUAGGAAUCGACCAACAAGGAUUCCUCAACGUGUUUCUGGAGCGGAGGCGAGCUGGUAGGGGAGCCGUGAAUCUGGAAGAUGACCAUCACUCUACCAACAAGGAUUACUUUAGGGCCAGAUCCGCGCUGUUUGUUCCAGAACAGGACUCUGGCUGAGGAGAGCUGAUGGAGGAGCCAAGAAUCUGGAGAACGACAUCACUCCCCCAACCAGGAUCCUCACCAGGAAUCUGGACGACUGAUGGAGAAGCCAUACAUCUGGAAGGCAAAUCCUGAGGACCACCAGGACUCUACCAUCAAGGAUUCCUCAUAAAUGUGCAUUAUCUGGACAUAGUGGACUAGACACACCUGAGCUGAACCUCACCUGAUCCUGUUUGGUCGGGGGUAGACACACCUGAGCUGAACCGCCCUGAUCCUGACAUCCUGCUGGUCCCGUCUCCUCAGUUCAUCCGAGCCUCGUCCUCCAGAAGACCUGCUGAGCUCAGCAGUCUGAGGCUGAUGGAUCAAUGACCUCCAGUGGGAGUGAUCUUCUUGACCCCACAUGUAACCGUGUGCUUCCACACGCCUUUUCCUCACGUCUGUCACUAACCUCACUACUUCACUACUCUCUACUGCUUCCUCUUUUCUUCCUUCUCUGUGGUUCAAACCUUUACACUGAAGGCGUGUCUUCCUGCCCUCAGAGGGUUUAGCGUUAGGGUUGAGAGUCAGGGUUUAGAGUCAGGGACAGAGCUGGUCAGGGAGGACUGCUUUUACACAAACCUUCAUUUGCUUUCAGAAUGGUGGUGACAUUUUGAAAAGAUUCAUUUGGGAAAAUUGUUUUCCUCUGCUUUCCUUUACAAAUUGUUUUAAACUUCUGUCAAGUGUUUUUGUUUAUAUAUUAAAAUCCCACAUUGACUUCUACAUGUUUGAGGUUCAUUUAAUUGUCCUUUAACUUGGUUAACGUCAAGCUAAACUCCUGCAAUACAUUUAAUAUACAUGAUUGUUAUUCUGCAAUGUUCACAUAAUCCAUUUUGUAAAAAUAUGAAACCUCCAUAUUACUACUAAAUUCAAGCCUAUUCAUGUAUUUAACAAUGUUUAUACUGCCCCGCAGGCCAUUCUCUGCUACAACACGUUCAAUCCACCAACCCGGCUCACAUCAAUGUACUAGAGCUACGUUGGUUCAAACGGAAAAUGUAGUUUGGUGUGAGACUGUUGUCCAGCAGAGGGAGCUGUCAUACACCUUAAUUAUACAGAAAUGUCUGUGUAUUUACAUUUUAAAAUGUUCAUGGGGUGGUCUAGUUUUUCUGCAAAUAACUCUGCCUCCAGCAACAGGAUUGGUCGAAACGUAUGAAGUGAAGGAAAUAAAAGCCCAGGGGCCUCAUGUACUAAGGUUGCGUACGCACAAAAACGUGGCGUACGUCCUUUUCCACGCUCAC